CUUGACCAGACUUUGAUUAUGGCUCAGGAUGAACGCUAGCUACAGGCUUAACACAUGCAAGUCGAGGGGAAACGACAUCGAAAGCUUGCUUUUGAUGGGCGUCGACCGGCGCACGGGUGAGUAACGCGUAUCCAACCUGCCCACCACUUGGGGAUAACCUUGCGAAAGUAAGACUAAUACCCAAUGAUAUCUCUAGAAGACAUCUGAAAGAGAUUAAAGAUUUAUCGGUGAUGGAUGGGGAUGCGUCUGAUUAGCUUGUUGGCGGGGUAACGGCCCACCAAGGUAACGAUCAGUAGGGGUUCUGAGAGGAAGGUCCCCCACAUUGGAACUGAGACACGGUCCAAACUCCUACGGGAGGCAGCAGUGAGGAAUAUUGGUCAAUGGGCGAGAGCCUGAACCAGCCAAGUAGCGUGCAGGAUGACGGCCCUAUGGGUUGUAAACUGCUUUUAUAAGGGAAUAAAGUGAGUCUCGUGAGACUUUUUGCAUGUACCUUAUGAAUAAGGACCGGCUAAUUCCGUGCCAGCAGCCGCGGUAAUACGGAAGGUCCGGGCGUUAUCCGGAUUUAUUGGGUUUAAAGGGAGCGUAGGCCGGAGAUUAAGCGUGUUGUGAAAUGUAGACGCUCAACGUCUGCACUGCAGCGCGAACUGGUUUCCUUGAGUACGCACAAAGUGGGCGGAAUUCGUGGUGUAGCGGUGAAAUGCUUAGAUAUCACGAAGAACUCCGAUUGCGAAGGCAGCUCACUGGAGCGCAACUGACGCUGAAGCCCGAAAGUGCGGGUAUCGAACAGGAUUAGAUACCCUGGUAGUCCGCACGGUAAACGAUGGAUGCCCGCUGUUGGUCUGAAUAGGUCAGCGGCCAAGCGAAAGCAUUAAGCAUCCCACCUGGGGAGUACGCCGGCAACGGUUCAACGC
rnacentral:rRNA from 1 species